UAGGGAAUCUUCCACAAUGGGCGAAAGCCUGAUGGAGCAACGCCGCGUGUGUGAUGAAGGCUUUCGGGUCGUAAAGCACUGUUGUAUGGGAAGAACAGCUAGAAUAGGAAAUGAUUUUAGUUUGACGGUACCAUACCAGAAAGGGACGGCUAAAUACGUGCCAN
rnacentral:rRNA from 1 species